CAGGACUGUGCAGUUGGCUUUUUUCCUUACAGUCCUUGAGUUCCCUGUCUCUUUGUGGAGCCUGCUGGGUGAACUCUAGGGUGCCUGCUGCAGUGGAAUUGUGCCUCUUUCUCUCGAAGCAGAAGGUGCAAGUAUAGUAUUAAAAGCUUAAAAGCUUUAAAUUAAAAUUAAAAAUUAAAAGCGUUAAAGCUGAUGGGUACAGGUAUAUGUGGGUGUCACAGUUUAAAAGUAUGUCUGCAAAUUCUUUAAUUUUCCUCCUUUCAAGAGGUAGAGUCUAAUCAUCAUCUUGCCUUCUUUCCCCAGAGUGUGGGCUAGACUUGGUGACUUGCUUAUAAAGACUAGAAUAAGGCAGGAGUGAUCGUGAUAGAACACGACUCCAGAGAUUAGGUCAUAAACGGGGUUGUGGCUUUCUCCCUGCUCUCUCUGUCUCUCUCUCUCUCUUGGACUGCUCACUCUGGGGGAUGCCAGCUGAUGCGUGUCGUGAGUACACUCAAGGAGCCCUAUGGAGAGAGGUCAAUUGCCAACAGCCAUGUGAACAAUCCACUUUGGAAAUAGAUUCUCCAGCCUCGUCAUGCCCUCAGAUAACUGCAGCCCUGGAUGACACCUUGAUGGCAACCUCAUGACAGACUCUGAGCCGGAACCACCCCUCUAAGCUGCUCCCAAAUUCCUGACCCAUAGAAACUGUGAGGUUUUUCCAUCUACCAAGGAUGGAUAAGGCUGAGGAUAUAAUUAAGCAAUAGAAACAGCAAAACUAGAGAUGGUACUCUGCAAACAUGUUCCAUGAGGAGACAGCAGGUCGACCUACCCAUCUGAUUUCGCUUUACAUUCUUACCAGCUGGAUGACAGAGUCCUGUUCAAAAGCUGGAAAGAACAAGGUCUUGAGCAUCAGCUGUCUGCUAAAUGGACAGGCUGCUUUCACCACCUGUUCUUCCAUGGAGCUCUCUGGAGUAAAACCGUGGAUACAUUGAAUCCAGAUAAAACAAGCUCUACCAGAAGAGACAACAGAGCAACCUGAGACCACCUCCUGAAAGUGCGAACACAUCAAGGAUUUAAGAUGUGUAUUCUGUAAAGUUCCUUAAUCUUUACACAAUACUUAGGACAAAUACAAGGAAUCAAGUAUGCUUUAACAUGUCCUCUAGCGCUCAAGAGACAAUUUGUUUCUGUUUUGCUAUUAAUGGUUAUGAGAUUGCCUCAUGUCAGUUAUAACUUCUGCCUCCAGAAACAUCUUCCCUUUCUGAUUGUUGGUUACUGAUCAUGGAGAAAAGUCACUAACUUUGAUCCCCUGACAGAUGGCCACAAUACCCACUUUAAUUCUAUGAGGCUAGUAUUUUUAUAUGAUAUAAACACCUAGACAUUAAUUUGGACUUUAUGGGGUACAUUUAUUAUAUAGGACAGACUUUAGGGAAAACUGCUUGGGAACUUCUCCCAGGGAAGGUUUUUGGUAGAGAUAUAAUCAGGACUAGAGCCACCAAGUAUCAGCAUUAUUAUGUUGCCAUUGGAAUCAAUGAUGAGUUGCUAAAAAAAAAAUACCAGGUUAUAACAGCAGUUACUUAGCCAAACCUUGUGUUUCCUGUCAUAGUGCCAUGUGUCCCCAUUCCCCUCAGCCAUGUUUUUGUGGAUGGGUACCAAAAACCAAAUCUUCUAAUAAGAAGGGAUGAUCACAUGCAGUAGGAGUAAAAUGGUGGACCACUGCUAACAAAGGACAAAAAGAGAUUUUAGGAUCAUUCGGGGCUAGAUUGAGUGUAUUGGGCCAAGUGGAAAUGGCAUUUGAUAAAAACUAUCACAGGCAAGAGAUGCAAUAUUUAAUGGCAUCAGGAAAAUUAGGUGGAUUAUUGUUUCAAGAAGAAGGAAAGGGUUGGGAAGCAGUCUGGAAGACCAACCAAGCUUUAGACAAAUGGAUAAGCAAAACUCAGGAAAUAAUGACAAAAUAUGCUGAGUCUCAACUGUGGGAAAAGGCAUGUGCCUCUACCCAGCAAAGCUUAAUAGACAUGCUUCUCUAAAUGGAAUCAGAAGUAGCAAUGAAACAAUGGCCCACUAUCUUAACAGCUGAGGCCCAAGAAACCCACUUAUGGGAAAAUAUGGGACACCAAACAUAUGGGAAAUAAUUGAAGGAAUUUUAAGUCUACACUGUUGUUCUCUGACUGCCUUAGUACUCAAAUUAAGAAAAGAUUUCAAACAUGAAGUAGUACAGCUUGUAGGAAUAGAUACCCUCCACAACAAUUACCAAAUACUUCCUAUGGGAAGUUUCUGGACCCUCUUUUCCUUGCAUAACUCAAUGGGAACCAAUUUCAGUUAUGAGUUGUAAAUAACGAAAUGGUUACAUUGGCUAUUCCAACAUAUGGCUAUGCCCACAACAGCAAUGGAACUCAGAGGUAAGUCUGACUUGGCCUGUGGUAAGAACUCUGGUUCAAGAUACAUUUGGUACAUGGAAAAAGGGAGAUUCUGUUGGGAAGGUGCCAUGAAUCAUACUGAUUCGUCCGUUUGAUCUGAUAAUCGUCCGUUUAUCAGAUCCUUAUCGUGACCAAACUGAGUUCAUAAUGAAUUUGUCUAAUAUCUGGUGUACUACAGAGGUUACAGGUAAAGUUCAUUUGCUGGAAACUAACAAAACCUGUGAUAACACUGAUGAAGAAGACUAUACCUAUCAGGAGUUAGAACUGAGACCCUCCACAAAGGUAAACUUAUAGAAGAUAAAUGGCCUAAGCAAAAUCUAAACUUAGCAUCUCAAGAAGUCCAGAGGUUCUUGAACAAGCUGGAGUAAUUGAACACCAGGCAGAGGUCACUGUUACAGAGAGGGGAAAGAGAAUCAUUCAGUUAAUCCAAAAAUAUGCAGAAGUUUGUUCUGGUUUCAUCAGAUGGCUCUCUUGUCUGAUUGGGUCUGCCUCUAGUAGUGAUAAAAUCUUAAAAGUUACCUUUUUUGCCUCCUUCUGAUAAUUUGUAUCCUUUUCUUACCCUGAGGUUGUGUUAACUGAUAAAAUGGAAAAAAAACUAAAGUCUCAAACAGUGUUAAUCAACACUGUUGCUCGAGAAUACUUUCAAAUCAAGUUUCGUCAGUUCCAUUCCUCUAUUCUCUAUGAUGCCCCUUGUCAGCAGGAAGUAGCCAGAUAGAAAUGAUAGCCAUAUAAGAUUAUAGAAUGGAUAACUGACAGUGAGAAAUUGAUACUGGCCUGAAGUAAGUUUGAUAUGAGGGAAGCUAUGUUGUAACUUAGAAUAACCUCUGACUAAACCACCCAAGCUGUAUGUUUUACCUUGCACUAGCCUAGGAGAUAAAUAGCUACCCUCUAGGAAAUAAUCCUGGCUGACAAAUGUACAGCCCAAUAGAUAUGGAUGAUAACUUUGUUAUUUUGAGUUUCUUAGGAACAUGGUGACCUCCUCAGAGAAGAACAUCUAUGCUGGCAUAUAUCAUCGAAGACAACUGAAAGACCUGUGGCAUCUCCAGUCACUGAUGCCAGAUAGUCAAUGUUCCUGAGCCCCUCCUUCAUAGCUCACUAGUCUCUAUACAACUGCCUCAAGAUUAUAUGCUUGUUUAAGAUGGUCUUUGGGACAUGAGCCUACCGUCUUCUGAUUUUGCUGGCUAAUCAAAUUAAUUCCUUUCUCAACCACUGACUCAUUUGUAGUUGAUUGCCUUCAGGGUUGUGGCAAGCAGAAUGAGCCCUUGCUUGGUUACAGAAUUUGUCUGACUUCCAAAUGUUUGGGAAUAAGAUAACUGGAGAGUCUGAUCAGCACCUGCCAAGGGUGUCAUUGCUGAAGACUGGUCCUGUGCAGUUCAGAUCCUUAGCUGUGUGUCCCACACAUGCUCACUUGUUGUUUCCAAGCUCAGAAAUUGUGCUAGGUUGGCUGGGUCAAAGUGAAGGUUAUGUUGGUAGCACUGUCUCAUGCUACCCUAGAUCUAGCCUCUGAGCUUCAGGGCCCUCUAUUGUGCCCAGGCCAUUAGAUACCUCCUGCCUUGUGGUGAGAUCUCUUUGGUGCCCCGCAUAUCCUUUCCUCUCAGCAGACCUAAAGGGCCAGGAGCAACUGGUCCAGCCAAGGUGCUGGGAAUUAGAAUCUGGGAAUAAGUUCAGGGCUGGGAUCUCAGAAGACUCCUGGGCUGCUAUUGAAAACUCAUCCUCUCCUUCCAGGAGAUUUGCCUCCCAGGGAGUGGUAGCUUUUGCUAAAGUCUGGAUGUAAGAGUAUCCUCUGUGGUCUGACUGCUUGACUUUGAAUCCUGGCUUUACCAUUUCUAAGCUGAGUAAUCUUGUGCAAUUUGCUUAAUCUGUUUAAGAUUCAAUUUGCUCAUCUGUGAAAGAGGGUUUAUUAGAGUACCUUCCCCUUAGGAUCCCCAAGAGGAUUAAAUGAGGUAAUCCAUGUGAAGUAUAUAGUGUAGUUCCUGGCAUGAAAAUACUCAAUAAAAGUUAGCUGCAAAAUUAUUAUGCUACAUAAAACCCAAUAGGUCCUAUUACACCAAAAUGGAAGUUUUGGUACAAGGGGACUGUUUCUUCAUUGUGUGGAGAAAUGGCUGGAAACUUAUUUCUUGUUUAAAAAAAUCUGUCUUAACGUCAUUGAUUAGUAAGUUUAAACUGUUUGUCCCCAACUUUAUUUGCUGUAUUUACUCUUUGGUGAAUUGUCAGUUAAUACUUUUCUUGUUUUCUGCAUUCUUUGUAUUUUUUUAGCUAAACUUUUUAUUUUGAGAUAACUGCAUAUUCUUAUGCAGUAAUAAGAAAUAAUACAGAGAGAUUCCAUGUAACCUUUCCCUCAGUUUCCUGAGCAUCUCUGUGUGUGUAUUUAUUUAUUUUUCCAGUCUCUUUCUCUCUCUGGUUCAAAUUGGAUCAUUUCUAUUGUCCUAUCUUCAAAGUCACUAAUUCUUUCUUCUGUCCUCUACAUUCUGUGGUUGAG
ensembl:lncRNA